AUGACUCCCAUGUGGCUCUUACUCUUCCUGCUGUCAGCUCCCAGAUGUGUCCUGUCCCAGGUGCAGCUGCAGGAGUCGGGCCCAGGACUGUUGACGCCCUCGCAGACCCUCUCCCUCACCUGCACUGUCUCUGGAUUCUCCAUCACCAGUUCUUCCUGCUGGAGCUGGGUCCGCCAGCCCCCAGGGAAGGGGCUGGAGUGGAUGGGGUACAUAUGUAGCAGUGGGAACAGUAACUACAGCCCCUCCCUCAAGAGCCGAACCUCCAUCUCCAGAGACACGUCCAAGAACCAGUUCUCCCUUCAGCUGAUCUCCGUGACCACCGAGGACACAGCCAUAUAUUUCUGUGCAGGAGACACAGUGAGAGGA